rnacentral:miRNA from 1 species
UGCUCUACUCACAUGGUUGCUAAUCACGUGAAGUGUAGGAGAAAGCCACCAUGUUGGGUA